rnacentral:tRNA from 1 species
UGCCGGGUAGUGUAAUGGUAGCACAACGGCCUUUGGAGCCGUACGUUCGGGUUCGAAUCCCGGCCCGGCAGCCA